UACGUAGGGUGCAAGCGUUACUCGGAAUUACCGGGCGUAAAGCGUGCGCAGGCGGUUGUGCAAGCCAGAUGUGAAAUCCCCGGGCUUAACCUGGGAACUGCAUUUGUGACUGCACGGCUAGAGUACGGCAGAGGGGGAUGGAAUUCCGCGUGUAGCAGUGAAAUGCGUAGAUAUGCGGAGGAACACCAAUGGCGAAGGCAGUCCCCUGGGCCUGUACUGACGCUCAUGCACGAAAGCGUGGGGAGCAAACAGG
rnacentral:rRNA from 1 species